rnacentral:rRNA from 1 species
UCUUGAGAGCGGCGGACGGGUGAGUAAUGCCUAGGAAUCUGCCUGGUAGUGGGGGAUAACGUUCGGAAACGGACGCUAAUACCGCAUACGUCCUACGGGAGAAAGCAGGGGACCUUCGGGCCUUGCGCUAUCAGAUGAUCCUAGGUCGGAUUAGCUAGUUGGUGGGGUAAUGGCUCACCAAGGCGACGAUCCGUAACUGGUCUGAGAGGAUGAUCAGUCACACUGGAACUGAGACACGGUCCAAACUCCUACGGGAGGCAACAGUGGGGAAUAUUAGACAAUGGGCGAAAGCCUGAUCCAGCCAUGCCGCGUGUGUGAAGAAGGUCUUCAGAUUGUAAAGCACUUUAAGUUGGGAGGAAGGGUUGUAGAUUAAUACUCUGCAAUUUUGACGUUACCGACAGAAUAAGCACCGGCUAACUCUGUGCCAGCAGCCGCGGUAAUACAGAGGGUGCAAGCGUUAAUCGGAAUUACUGGGCGUAAAGCGCGCGUAGGUGGUUUGUUAAGUUGGAUGUGAAAUCCCCGGGCUCAACCUGGGAACUGCAUUCAAAACUGACUGACUAGAGUAUGGUAGAGGGUGGGUGGAAUUUCCUGUGUAGCGGUGAAAUGCGUAGAUAUAGGAAGGAACACCAGUGGCGAAAGCGACCACCUGGACUAAUACUGACACUGAGGUGCGAAAGCGUGAGGAGCAAACACGAUUAGAUACCCUGGUAGUCCACGCCGUAAACGAUGUCAACUAACCGUUGGAAGCCUUGAGCUUUUAGUGGCGCAGCUAACGCAUUAAGUUGAUCGCCUGGGGAGUACGGCCGCAGGGUAAAAACUCAAAUGAAUUGACGGGCGACCGCACAAACGGUGAACCAUGUAGUUUAAUUCCAAGCAGCUCUAAUUACCUUACCGGGCAUGACAUCCAUGAACUUUCAUCAGAUAGAUUGUUGCCAUCAGGAACAUUCCA